AAUGCAUUAUUAAGACCUCAUCUAGAAUAUUGUGUUCAGUUCUGGUCACCUCGUUACAAAAAGGAUAUUGCUGCUCUAGAAAGAGCAACCAGAAUUAUCCCGGAUUUAAAAGGCAUGACGUAUGCAUACAGGCUAAAAGAAUUGAAUCUAUUCAGUCUUGAACAAAGAAGACUACGCGGUGAUCUGAUUCAAGCAUUCAGAAUUCUAAAAGGUAUCGACAAUGUCGACCCAGGGGACUUUUUUGACCUGAAAAAAGAAACAAGGACCAGGGGUCACAAAUGGAAAUUAGAUAAAGGGGCAUUCAGAACAGAAAAUAGAAAAUAACUUUUUUACACAGAGAAUUGUGAAGGUCUGGAACCAACUCCCUAGUAAUGUUGUUGAAGCUGACACCCUGGGAUCCUUCAAGAAGCUGCUGGAUGAGAUUCUGGAAUCAAUAAGCUACUAACAACCAAACGAGCAAGAUGGUCCGAAUGGCCUCCUCUCAUUGGUUUUACCCAACAAGGCAGACCCCUUUCACAGACAACAGGAACAACCAGCAGCCCCACAUCCUGUGAUCGCAGAGUGCGAUUCGGAAGAUACGGGGUCAGUAACUCCUGCAAAUAACUAGGUGCUAAUCCAUUCAGGGCCUUGUAAGUUAACAGCAAAACCUUAAAAUCAAUUCUAUACUGCACAGGGAACCAGUGUAAAGAGGCUAAAACAGGGGUAAUAUGUUCACUUUUUCUUUUUGUGAUCGAUUGUUUUUAUUUUCCAUCAAAACAGCUUAUA